rnacentral:rRNA from 1 species
UACGUAGGGCGCAAGCGUUGUCCGGAAUUAUUGGGCGUAAAGAGCUCGUAGGUGGUUUGUUACGUCUGCUGUGAAAACCUAGGGCUUAACCCUGGGCCUGCAGUGGAUACGGGCAGACUAGAGGUAGGUAGGGGAGAAUGGAAUUCCCGGUGUAGCGGUGAAAUGCGCAGAUAUCGGGAGGAACACCGGUGGCGAAGGCGGUUCUCUGGGCCUUACCUGACACUGAGGGGCGAAAGCGUGGGGAGCGAACAGG